rnacentral:rRNA from 1 species
GACGAACGCUGGCGGCGUGCUUAACACAUGCAAGUCGAACGGAAAGGCCCUGCUUUUGUGGGGUGCUCGAGUGGCGAACGGUGUGAGUAACACGUGAGUAACCUGCCCUUGACUUUGGGAUAACUUCAGGAAACUGGGGCUAAUACCGGAUAGGAGCUCCUGCUGCAUGGUGGGGGUUGGAAAGUUUCGGCGGUUGGGGAUGGACUCGCGGCUUAUCAGCUUGUUGGUGGGGUAGUGGCUUACCAAGGCUUUGACGGGUAGCCGGCCUGAGAGGGUGACCGGCCACAUUGGGACUGAGAUACGGCCCAGACUCCUACGGGAGGCAGCAGUGGGGAAUAUUGCACAAUGGGCGGAAGCCUGAUGCAACAACGCCGCGUGCGGGAUGACGACCUUCGGGUUGUAAACCGCUUUCGCCUGUGACGAAUCGUGAGUGACGGUAAUGGGUAAAGAAGCACCGGCUAACUACGUGCCACCAGCCGCGGUGAUACGUAGGGUGCGAGCGUUGUCCGGAUUUAUUGGGCGUAAAGGGCUCGUAGGUGGUUGAUCACGUCGGAAGUGUAAUCUUGGGGCUUAACCCUGAGCGUGCUUUCGAUACGGGUUGACUUGAGGAAGGUAGGGGAGAAUGGAAUUCCUGGUGGAGCGGUGGAAUGCGCAGAUAUCAGGAGGAACACCAGUGGCGAAGGCGGUUCUCUGGGCCUUUCCUGACGCUGAGGAGCGAAAGCGUGGGGAGCGAACAGGCUUAGAUACCCUGGUAGUCCACGCUGUAAACGGUGGGUACUAGGUGUGGGGUCCAUUCCACGGGUUCCGUGCCGUAGCUAACGCUUUAAGUACCCCGCCUGGGGAGUACGGCCGCAAGGCUAAAACUCAAAGGAAUUGACGGGGCCCCGCACAAGCGGCGGAGCAUGCGGAUUAAUUCGAUGCAACGCGUAGAACCUUACCUGGGUUUGACAUGGAUCGGGAGCGCUCAGAGAUGGGUGUGCCUCUUUUGGGGUCGGUUCACAGGUGGUGCAUGGCUGUCGUCAGCUCGUGUCGUGAGAUGUUGGGUUAAGUCCCGCAACGAGCGCAACCCUUGUUCACUGUUGCCAGCACGUUAUGGUGGGGACUCAGUGGAGACCGCCGGGGUCAACUCGGAGGAAGGUGGGGAUGACGUCAAGUCAUCAUGCCCCUUAUGUCCAGGGCUUCACGCAUGCUACAAUGGCUGGUACAGAGAGUGGCGAGCCUGUGAGGGUGAGCGAAUCUCGGAAAGCCGGUCUCAGUUCGGAUUGGGGUCUGCAACUCGACCUCAUGAAGUCGGAGUCGCUAGUAAUCGCAGAUCAGCAACGCUGCGGUGAAUACGUUCCCGGGGCU